rnacentral:rRNA from 1 species
UACGAAGGUGGCAAGCGUUGUUCGGAUUUACUGGGCGUACAGGGAGCGUAGGCGGUUGGGUAAGCCCUCCGUGAAAUCUCCGGGCCUAACCCGGAAAGUGCGGAGGGGACUGCUCGGCUAGAGGAUGGGAGAGGAGCGCGGAAUUCCCGGUGUAGCGGUGAAAUGCGUGGAGAUCGGGAGGAAGGCCGGUGGCGAAGGCGGCGCUCUGGAACAUUUCUGACGCUGAGGCUCGAAAGCGUGGGGAGCAAACAGG